GGGGGCCCGCACAAGCAGCGGAGCAUGUGGUUUAAUUCGAAGCAACGCGAAGAACCUUACCAGGUCUUGACAUCCAGUAAAAAACUGUAGAGAUGCAGUGUGCCUUCGGGCGUACUGAGACAGGUGGUGCAUGGUUGUCGUCAGCUCGUGUCGUGAGAUGUUGGGUUAAGUCCCGCAACGAGCGCAACCCUUAUUUUCAGUUACUAACGUGUAAAGGCGAGGACUCUGAAGAGACUGCCGGGGACAACUCGGAGGAAGGUGGGGACGACGUCAAAUCAUCAUGCCCCUUAUGACCUGGGCUACACACGUGCUACAAUGGCCACUACAAAGAGGAGCGAGCCCGAGAGGGGGAGCGGAUCUGAUAAAGUGGUCCCAGUUCGGAUUGUGGGCUGCAACCCGCCCACAUGAAGUCGGAGUUGCUAGUAAUCGCGGAUCAGCAUGCCGCGGUGAAUACGUUCCCGGGCCUUGUACACACCGCCCGUCACACCAUGGGAGUUGGGAGCACCCGAAGCCAGUGAGGUAACCGCAAGGGA
rnacentral:rRNA from 1 species